rnacentral:tRNA from 1 species
GCCCUCGUAGCUCAGUGGAUAGAGCAAGGGAUUUCUAAUCCCUCAGCCGUAGGUUCAAACCCUACCGGGGGCG